GCGGCGGCGGCGGAGCGCGGGGAUGCGGGUGCGAGGAGGCGAGGCGCUGACAGGAGUUGGCGGCGGGGCGGAAACCCUAAGGGUGCAUUCUUAUAGAACCGAGCGCCGCUGCGGAAUGCGCAGCCCUUUCCGGGCCUUGCCACCCGUCUCCUCGGCCCGGUCCGUCACGGAGGCCCAUGGGAGGCCCGCCUGUCGUGGAUAAUCACUCGCGGCG
rnacentral:lncRNA from 1 species